GAGUUUGAUCCUGGCUCAGGAUGAACGCUGGCGGCGUGCCUAAUACAUGCAAGUCGAACGGGUGUAGCAAUACACUAGUGGCGAACGGGUGAGUAACACGUUGGUGACCUGCCCUAAAGAGGGGAAUACCACUUCGAAAGGAGUGACAAAACCGCAUAAGCUAGUGCUAGUUAGAGAGGCAUUAGUAAAAGAGCAAUCUACUUUAGGAGGGGCCUGCGGCCCAUCAGCUAGUUGGUGAGGUAAAAGCCCACCAAGGCGAAGACGGGUAGGGGACCUGAGAGGGUGAUCCCCCACAAUGGAACUGAAACACGGUCCAUACACCUGCGGGUGGCAGCAGUAGGGAAUAUUGCUUAAUGGGCGAAAGCCUGAAGCAGCAACGCCGCGUGAACGAAGAAGGCCUUCGGGUCGUAAAGUUCUUUUACGUGGGAUGAGGAAGGACAGUACCACGAGAAUAAGUCUCGGCUAACUACGUGCCAGCAGCCGCGGUAAAACGUAGGAGACGAGCGUUAUCCGGAUUUACUGGGCGUAAAGCGCGUGUAGGAGGCGCUACAAGUUGGAUGUGAAAGCUCCCGGCUUAACUGGGAGAGGUCGUUCAAGACUGUAGGGCUAGAGUGAGGCAGAGGUAGAUGGAACUCCGGGAGUAGUGGUGAAAUGCGUAGAUAUCCGGAAGAACACCAGAGGCGAAAGCGAUCUACUGGGCCUAAACUGACACUGAGACGCGAAAGCCAGGGUAGCAACGGGAUUAGAGACCCGGUAGUCCUGGCCGUAACGAUGUCACUAGUUGUG
rnacentral:rRNA from 1 species